rnacentral:lncRNA from 1 species
CGGAACUCGACGAAACUUAGGGUGUUCACCAGAGGGAGCUGACGGCCGCUGCAAGUCUUUGGAGUUGUCUAGGAGAUGGCUUAGGUCAAACCCUAGCCGCCAUGGCCUCCCUGCGCGGUUGUGCCAUGAUGAAGUUCAGGAGCUAGUUGUGAUCAUCAAUGGUAUGUAUUCGGAGGUGAUGGUCUAAAUAUAUCUAUUAUGUGAGAAAUGUUCUUGUCAUCCGAUCUGUGAGCGACUCAUUACCUUCUUUUAUGCUUUUUACUUAUCAUGAAUAUGCUUGUUCCUCAGUUUAAUUCGCGAUUAGACUACAUAGCAUGCUUUAUGUAAUCAUGGUGAUUAGAUCUAGUAUGUUGACCCUUCUUGAUAGCUAGACAUGUUCAUCUGUGUUCGUGCCCUUAAACUACCUACGCCGAUAGGGGGGAUCAUGACGGGGUCUGCUUCCGUGUAAGGUGGGGGUUUUCGGGAGGUUGACUGGAGGUAGUAAUUAUUAAAUUAGAUGAGAUGCAUGAUGUGCUUGCUCGUUGGCUGGAACUACAACUAGAAGAUGAUAGGCUCUUGCUGCCUUUGAUGGUGUUAUAUCAUAUAUAUCUGUAGAUGUGAUCUACCCUUAUAUCUGAUACCAAUCUUUACAACAAAUUUGCCUUCAUAUACAAUCUAUACUUCAUGUUAGGAUAGAUCCGUUAGACUAGAUAGAAAACCCUAUCCAGUUCGCUGCCGAUCCACGGAUUGAUAAACCUUAGAUGGAAUACUCUAAGAAAAAAAGCUACGAUGAUCCGUACGCUUACGGUUCACAAAUUGGCGUACUAACUGCCGUCAACGCCUAGCUAGCUAGAAUCUUGUUUUAGCAUGCAAACAGAACCUAGAAUCUCAGUGAAGUCCAAAACUGCAAGUGUGCUAUGUUGGAGUGCUAAGUUUCAACUACCAAUACUGUCUUGUAUAUCCAUGUAAGCAGCAUAAGGAUCGGAAUAUAUCUCACUGUAGACAGUUUGAUUAUUCCUAUAGGAAACCCGAAAUAAUCCUCACGCGUUCCAAUUGAGGACCAAAUUUUUUGGUCCUCGAAAUGAUUAUAACACUUCCAAAGAAUCUCGAGAGCUUGAUCAACAAGUAGUCGUGGACAGUUGGCAUCCUUAUCGUCUUCAACAAACAGAAUUUCCAAUCUAAAUUACAACAUGCAUGGGCCUGGUUCAUCUCAUUGAGCAAAGGACACUUCUUUUUAUGAAAGAGCUAGAUCUUCUGCUUUGUCUUAAGUCAAAUUUCUCUACUAAGUUUAUAGAAAUCCAUCAUGAAGACAGAAGAGUAAGAGUAAGGACAAUUAACAUAUACUCUUCCCGUGACUGCUGCACAAUUUGAACCUGUAGGCCCGUGACUGCUGCACAAUUUGAACCUGUAGGUGAAGCAGCAAAUGCUAUGUAAUACUACCUCCGUAUCGAAAUAUUUGUCGCGGUUGACUUUUGAUCACGAAAUAGUACAAGGACCAAUGAUUCAAUCAAACAAUGUUCAAUCAUUCACGAAUGCAUUGCCUCUAUUAAGUCCUUGAAACAUCGUGAAAGCUGAAAAGCUUGUGGGAUACAUGAUCGAAGCGAUCAAACUCAGUGAAAGGGACGACGCCAGCGCAUGCAAAAUCUCCAGAAAAUCUCUUGCGGUCUUUGUUGCCUGAAUGCGUACGCCACCACUCACGGCUUGACGUUGAGCUUGCAUUGGCAAGCUGCGUUCUGCGUAGGGCAACGAGUCAUGCAUGCGCGGCAGAAUAUCUCUUGUCGGCAACUUGUGUAGGGCAAGUCAUGCAAGAAGCAGCAGCAUCGUCGUCCAGUCAGAGCUAGCUAGCCGGGGCUUGCCGCGAACGGUGGUUCGGUGCACGGUCUCUCACUCUCUCUCCGCUCAAUCCUCUCAAUUCCUCGUAAAGCGUCGCCACUAACGAGCUAUGGUCAUGAGUGCUUCCGGCAGGGCAGUUAGGUGAGCAAAGGUGAGCUGCUCAGCUUCACCGGAACACUAACAUUUAACAAUCCAUAGCUCCAUGCAUAUUGCAGCACCAUGUAAUAUGUUGCAUUAUUUCUUCCUCGCAAAAAAGAAAUAAAAGAGAAGAAUAUGCAUCGUUUCUUGUGGUAACACUUGUUUAGGUACUUUAAUUUCUUUCACUAACUGCAGAGCUCUGCAUAACAACUGCAGAUAAAAAACUUUUUUAUGGUGCUUUUCAGGGGAACACAUUGGCUUCGGUUCUAUGCUCUGUUGCAGCACAUUAACGACCAAAGGGAGGAGCGACUUGUUGAGGCACGCUAGCUUCGAGUCUAGAGCCAUGCUGGUUUUUCGUAUCCCACGGAUAGCCUUUCAUUUUGCAUAUUGGUUAAAAAUGUUAAACAUGGUGUUGUUUAAACUCCACAUUUUGCAUAUUGGUUAAAAAUGUUAAACAUGGUGUUGUUUAAACUCCAAGUUUGCUUAUAAUAAUUUUGGAUUGAUAUUUUUUUGAGGAGUUUGAAGCUGAACCUUUUCCAUUAUCUAAGAAAAAUGUGUGUUCACAGCAUAGCAUUUUCUUCAUGCUUGAUCAUGGGUCUUUAGUCUUAUCAUGGUGGUGGGAGACAGAGGCGUUGUAGUUGCUUGCCUCCGGGUGCAACUUGGACUUCUCAUGCCGAUCGAUGCCGUCCCAAGCUUGGCUUCCACUUCUGCUAUUUGCUGGAAAGGCCUCUUCGAUCUGCCGGCGUCACACAUAUGUCACAUUUUGAACAGCUUUGGACUCUAUAAAACUAAAGAUGGAACUUCCUUGUCCUCUUGGACGAGAGGUCACUGCUAAAC